ACUGCUCAGUAACACGUGGACAACCUGCCCUGAGGACUGGAAUAAUCCCGGGAAACUGGGGGUAAUUCCAGAUAUGUCAGAACUCCUGGAAUGGGUUCUGGCAGAAAGGCUCCGGCGCCUCAGGAUGGGUCUGCGGCCUAUCAGGGUAGUAGUGGGUGUAACGUACCUACUAGCCUACGACGGGUACGGGUUGUGAGAGCAAGAGCCCGGAGAUGGAUUCUGAGACAUGAAUCCAGGCCCUACGGGGUGCAGCAGGCGCGAAAACUUUACAAUGCGGGCAACCGCGAUAAGGGGACCUCGAGUGCUGGGUUACAAACCUGGCUGUUGGGCUGCCUAAAAAGCAGUCUAUAGCAAGGGCCGGGCAAGACCGGUGCCAGCCGCCGCGGUAACACCGGCGGCUCGAGUGGUAACCGCUAUUAUUGGGUCUAAAGGGUCUGUGGCCGGCCGACUAAGUCUCUUGGGAAAUCUGGCAUCUCAAGUGUCAGGCUGCCAGGGGAUACUGGUCGGCUUGGGACCGGGAGAGGUGAGAGGUACCUCGGGGGUAGGGGUGAAAUCUUGUAAUCCUCGAGGGACCACCAGUGGCGAAGGCGUCUCACCAGAACGGAUCCGACGGCAAGGGACGAAAGCUAGGGGCACGAACCGGAUUAGAUACCCGGGUAGUCCUAGCCGUAAACGAUACUCGCUAGGUGUCGGCCACGGUGCGACCGUGGUCGGUGCCGUAGGGAAGCCGUGAAGCGAGCCACCUGGGAAGUACGGCCGCAAGGCUGAAACUUAAAGGAAUUGGCGGGGGAGCAC
rnacentral:rRNA from 1 species